rnacentral:rRNA from 1 species
GUGUCAGCAGCCGCGGUAAUACGAGGGGUCCUAGCGUUGUUCGGAAUCAUUGGGCGUAAAGAGCUCGUAGGUGGCCUAGUAAGUCAGGUGUGAAAGCCCAGGGCUCAACCCUGGAAGUGCUCUUGAAACUGCAUGGCUUGAGUACGGUAGGGGAGCGUGGAAUUCCUGGUGUAGCGGUGAAAUGCGCAGAUAUCAGGAGGAACACCAGCGGCGAAGGCGGCGCUCUGGGCCGGAACUGACGCUGAGGAGCGAAAGCGUGGGUAGCAAACAGGAUUAGAUACCCCGGUAGUCC